rnacentral:lncRNA from 1 species
UGCUCCCAGUACCCCCAGUCCUGCCCUGCUCCUACCCCAGUUCCUCACUCGUCAUUCUCCAGCUCCCCCAGCCCCACCACCCCAGUUCUCCUAGUCCCUCCUCUUCCAGCACCCUCAGUUUCUCCAGCCCCCCCCAGCCCUCCCAACCAGGGCACCCAGUUCCCCCAGUACUUUUCCAGUAACUCCAUCCCAGUUCUGCACUCGGGGACCCCCAAGUACCUCCAUUCCUGCCCCGCUGAUCCUCCCAGCAGCCCAAAUCCUGCCCUGGUGCUACCCCAGUUUCCCACUCGUGAUUCUCCAGUUCCCCCAGCCCCACCAGUCCCUCUUCACCCAGUUCUCCCAGUGUCCAUACUCAGCUCUCCCAGUCCCUCCUCACCCAGCUCUCCCAGUCCCUCCUCACCCAGCUCUCCUAGUGUCCAUACCCAGCUCUCCCAGUGUCCAUACCCAGCUCUCCCAGUCCCUCUUCACCCAGCUCUCCCAGUGUCCAUACUCAGCUCUCCCAGUGUUCAUACUCAGUUCUCCCAGUCCCUCCUCACCCAGCUCUCCCAGUCUCUCCUGCCCAGAUCUCCGUCUCUUCUCCCCCACUUCUCUGAAUCCUCCUCACCCACCGCUCCCAGUCCCUCCUUCCCAGCAUUCCCAGUCUCCCCUCCUCACCCAGCUCUGCCAGUCUCUCCAUACUCAAUACUCCCAGUCCCUCCUCACCCAGUUCUCGCAAUUCCUCCUCACCCAGCUCUCCCAGUCCCUCUUUCCCAGCUCCCCAGUCCCUCCUCGCACGGUUCUAUCAAUUCCUCCUUCCCAGCUCUCCCAGUCUCUCCAUACCAGCUCUCCCAGUCCCUCUUUCCCAGCUCCACAGUCCCUCCUCGCACGGUUCUCUCAAUUCCUCCUCACCCAGCUCUCCCAGUCCCUCCUCACACGGUUCUAUCAAUUCCUCCUUCCCAGCUCUCCCAGUCUCUCCAUACCCAGCAUUCCCAGUCCCUCCCUUCCAGCUCUCCCAGUCCCUCCUCACCCAGCCCUCCCCGCUGCCCAGCUCCGACUCCCCGGUCCCCCCAAUCCCCUCAGUGUCCCCUCAGUUCUCCCUCUCCCCGCUCCGAACCUGCCCGCGCUCCCGCCCCGGCGCCUGCGCGCUCCCGCGGCUCCGCCGGCGGAUCCGGGCCCGCUGAAGCCGUUCCGGGCCCGCUGAAGCCGUUCCGGGCCCGCUGA